CUUACUUUCUCCUACCACUACCUUCAAGCCACUUGGAGCCAUCUUGCCACUUCCGUGUUGUCGUAUUUAAUUUUUUUUUCCACUGCAGUGUGUAAAUGUAUCAGCGCGGUGAUGUCACUUCCGGGGACCAGAUGAAUGAUUAGACCCAGAUAUCCAGAUUGCAGCACGUCUCAUCUUGAUCCAGGACACUGAUACAAUCACCCACCUCCAACAACUGGAAUUCCAGACCACAAUCUGGGCUAGACAUUUGCCUGUGCUGUGUAUGGUUGCUCUGAGUACUGCCAGCUGAGAGAAACCCAUUUGUGGUAUGGGGUGGAGUGUUCAUUCAUAUUCCCCACCAAUCAUUUAUCCUUUUAAACCAUGAUCAUGACAAUGAUCUCUUCUCUGCUUUGUGAGGUACUGUACCCUAUCCCUUAGAUCACAGAAGGGAUCCUGCUGAAUCAUUUUGUAGUAGGAUACUUGAAUUGCAUAAUAAUAUAUAUAUCCAACUCUUUAAAUUAGUCACUUUUAUUAAAAGCAUCAGCUAAGAGACUGAAAUUACUUUGUCACUGGUUGUUUUCAGGACACGUAUCUUCUUUCAUUACCUAUUUUGUAAGUGACCCAGUCUCAUCAAUCUGCCCUGUCCUACAUAGAGGGUGAGCCCUUCAUCUGGUUUAACGUGGUUCAGACAAAGAGAUAAGCAGGUUGUAUCCUCACACCAUCACGCUCAUUGUGUUUGGCAGCUGUCAUUCCAGGUUAGGGCAUCCAAAAGAGUAACUUGUAUCUAAAUUUCAAAGGCCUAUAUUGAUGUGGUUUCCUAUUUCACAGGAAGAUGGUUUGCAUUGCAUUGUUUUCUGAAUGGUGCAUUUAGCUAGUUAAAUAUUGUGUAUUUGCAUGCAUAUGGAGUCAAAAUACCCUUGAUACAGGCUCUGCACCACACCGUGAGCAUCCACCUAUGUGUGUCCUACCCUGAUCACUGAUAUUCCACCUUCAUCCUUUCAGCUGUAGCACCCAGUCUGCCACUCGUCAGCUGACAGUGCAGGCCAUACAAAAAUAAGCCUGAAACAAAGAGAAUAGGUGAGGUUUGCUCUGCCUCCUACAGUGUUUGCAGGAACUUAAAAAAACUCGUAGAUGGCAGUGUUCCUGAGAAUUUCUGGAUUGGACGGACAGAGAAACAAAACAGAGAUUUUACCAAGAUGGCUGCUGAGCUGGCCUGCACCAUGCCAAUAAAAUACAUAAACUUUGUAUCUGUUUUGAUCAAGCCUAUGUGCUCAUGCAGAGGAACACUGCUGCUUCACUGUGGUUUCGCCCUAUAAGCCAGCUGUUUGCAUCCCCAUCUUGAGGACCACCCAGCCAGUCUGUAAUUCUGUACUAUUACACCAGCUGCACAACAUGACUAAUGCAAGGAAGAGUGUCCAAGAUUGUUAAGAGAUUGGACAGAGUGUUUAUAAGAGCUGGCAGAUGACAUCAAGGGAAGAGAGAGAACAGCAUGUUGUACCCUAGGACACCAGAGGUGGCGCUGACCAUCUUGCUGCACUUGAACGUCUUUCUCCACUGCACUGUACCCUGCAGGGUUUUCUUCAUUGUGGAUCGCAUCACUUUAUGCGGAGUCAAAUUGCGGUUUGCAAACCCCUCCCACAUUACACGCGUUACAAAUCCGAAGAGGCAUCCAUACAUGCGAAGGCGGUUCUACGCUUCAUAUAUCAUGAGGUAUUCCCCAGGUGUAGGCCCAUGGGUGAUUCUUGGCUAUGAUUAUUCAUGAACUGAAGUCCCUCUUAAUGUCGCAGUUUAGUUUAAAGCUGCCAAUCGGCAGCCACACUUUGCAGAAGAUCCAGCUGGUGAUCCUGGGCCAAGUUGACCAAGUCAUCCCCCAGCAACUGAGCACUAUAUCUGGAGACUCCAACUCUCACUAAGCCCCAAAAUCAAUUAAGUAAUGAUACUUGAUAUCGGUGGUAUCCAGCACCACACCACAUACGGCACACUUAACAUUUAUCAUUGUUAAUAAUUUGACUGUUUGCAUCGUUAACCCAUCCGUGCUCUAGGGCUUGUAUAACUAAGCAGGAUUUCUUGCUCAGUCAGUUAACUUGUUGGAUUUAAGGUAGACUGGGCUAAAUGCAAGUGAACAAAGACGGAGUCAGUUUAAAUCUGACAAGUUAUCCGGCUAAACCAGCAAUCCAG